rnacentral:lncRNA from 1 species
GCUAAAAGACAAAACUUUAUUUGUUAGUAUCAGAAGAAGUAUUAGCCCAAAGACACAGAAACCCCAUGACCGCUGACUUAGUGUUAAUGCAAAGUGCAAGUCUAUCCCUCUCUUGACCCUAACAGGCUGCAGCACAUCCGUCAGUACGGUUCAGGAACACUCUUCACUCCGCUGGUAACCCAUAGUGGCUUAUCCACUACUUCUCCGUACGGCAGUCUACCCAUAAAGACGGACGCUGUCCCUGUACUGUCCCUUCCUAGACUUUCUGCACUUCAUCAGUAUAAGGGGGAGUUUGUAGCGGAAUACAGGGUGAGAUGAGGUCUUGAUCAUCGAUUGUCAGAUGAGUGAAGGUUGGUGUUGCUUGGUCUACAGUUUUCUGCAGGAAUUUCCUUAGGCAUGGGAGGACACAACAAAUGAGAAGAGCGAGAAUAAAAAAGAAAAAUUAGUAAGGCAAUACCAAUCUGGACUAAAGCUCUCUGCCAACCAGUCAUCCAACCAAACCAUUUUUCCCAGGGAUCAGUAACUCCAGAGUUUCUCUUUAACUCCUCUGAGAGUCUAUUUAAUUUAGCUAUGGCCAGAGUGACUUUACCAUUAGGACCUGUGUUUUCUGGAAUGUAAGUGCAACAAGUCAUAGUGUCGGGAAGUAUUUUACAGACCCCCCUUUUUCGGCUAAGAUCAUGUCUAAGGCCAGUCUGUUCUUGAAGGUCAUUUGGGAUGUGGCCUGUAAUUGCUCGGCCAAGCCCUGGAGGGCAUCCCUGGUGUAGUUCACGAAGCGCUGUUGGUUGUAAUAGAUAUAAUUAAUCCAAUUAAGGUUUUUGUUGGCAGUGACUAUGGUAAAAAGUGAUUCAAAACCUACAGCUACUUCAUCUCUAGCUUUAAAUUCAUUAGGUACCCCCCUAGGUACCCCAAUGGCAUCUAUGUAAAUGUGGGGGUCAAAACUGCCUUUUACUGGGGUUUCGCGCCUUACUCUGGCUGAUGUAUGUGGAGGGUCGUAUGUGUCAUGAUGAUUAUCAGAAAUAAUAUGAAUGGGCAUGAUAACUUUGGCCAGGGUACACUCACCCCACCACUCAGUUUCCAGCCUAGAUCUUAAC